rnacentral:rRNA from 1 species
AACGAACGCUGGCGGCAGGCUUAACACAUGCAAGUCGAACGCCCCGCAAGGGGAGUGGCAGACGGGUGAGUAACGCGUGGGAACAUACCCUUUCCUGCGGAAUAGCUCCGGGAAACUGGAAUUAAUACCGCAUACGCCCUACGGGGGAAAGAUUUAUCGGGGAAGGAUUGGCCCGCGUUGGAUUAGCUGGUUGGUGGGGUAACGGCCUACCAAGGCGACGAUCCAUAGCUGGUCUGAGAGGAUGAUCAGCCACAUUGGGACUGAGACACGGCCCAAACUCCUACGGGAGGCAGCAGUGGGGAAUAUUGGACAAUGGGCGCAAGCCUGAUCCAGCCAUGCCGCGUGAGUGAUGAAGGCCUUAGGGUUGUAAAGCUCUUUCACCGGAGAAGAUAAUGACGGUAUCCGGAGAAGAAGCCCCGGCUAACUUCGUGCCAGCCGCCGCAGUAAGAC